rnacentral:rRNA from 1 species
UACGGGGGGGGCAAGCGUUGUUCGGAAUUACUGGGCGUAAAGGGUUCGUAGGUGGCCAACUAAGUCAGACGUGAAAUCCCUCAGCUUAACUGGGGAACUGCGUCUGAUACUGGUUGGCUUGAGUGCAGGAGAGGAACGCGGAAUUCCAGGUGUAGCGGUGAAAUGCGCAGAUAUCAGGAGGAACACCGGUGGCGAAGGCGGUUCUCUGGGCCUGUACUGACGCUGAGGAGCGAAAGCGUGGGGAGCGAACAGG